rnacentral:lncRNA from 1 species
AUUUUAGUAUGAGUUCUUGAUUAACUUGAUAUAUGCAUUAAUAUCAGAAUUCAGAGUAAUCACUCGGGCUCUGCUGCAAUUAUACCAUAUUAUUUGACAUGGGGAUGUUCGAUUUUUCUUAAGUUUGCCAUUGUUCAUAAUGUUGAAGUUGAGCCUUGCAGUGUAGACCAUAAUGGCCCUCAUGCACGUGCCUGAUCUUUGUCAGUUUGUUUCUUAUCAGUUUCUUGC